rnacentral:sRNA from 1 species
AUGAUCUUGGCAAACGUCUUCUGCCUCUUCUUCUUUCUAGACGAGACCCUCCGCUCUUUGGCCAGCCCUUCCUCCCUGCAGGGCCCCGAGCUCCACGGCUGGCGCCCCCCAGUGGACUGUGUCCGGGCCAAUGAGCUGUGUGCCGCCGAAUCCAACUGCAGCUCUCGCUACCGCACUCUGCGGCAGUGCCUGGCAGGCCGCGACCGCAACACCAUGCUGGCCAACAAGGAGUGCCAGGCGGCCUUGGAGGUCUUGCAGGAGAGCCCGCUGUACGACUGCCGCUGCAAGCGGGGCAUGAAGAAGGAGCUGCAGUGUCUGCAGAUCUACUGGAGCAUCCACCUGGGGCUGACCGAGGAGAUGGGGUCUCGUUAUGUUGCACAGGCCUAUCUCAAACUCCUGGGCUCAAGCAGUACUCCCACCUUGGUUUCCCAAAGUUCUGGGCUUACAGGCGGUGCCUUCUCCCUAGCAACCUGGAUUCCUAGAACUAGCAUGAGCAAAGGGAGGAAUACUGUCCUGAGGGUACUGCACUCUAUUCUUCAGGAGAUAAGGCGCUGUCUUCACCCAGAGCCGGACUCUGUAGCGUACAAAUAAUUAAAGCGCUCGAUGCCUGAGCCGA